GGACGAACGCUGGCGGCGUGCUUAACACAUGCAAGUCGAGCGGUAAGGCCCUUUCGGGGGUACACGAGCGGCGAACGGGUGAGCAACACGUGGGUGACCUGCCCUUAGCUCUGGGAUAAGCCUGGGAAACUGGGUCUAAUACCGGAUAUGACUCCAUGACGCAUGUUGUGGGGUGGAAAGCCUUGUGCGGCUAGGGAUGGGACCCGCGGCCUAUCAGCUUGUUGGUGGGGUGANGGCCUACCAAGGCGACGACGGGUAGCCGGCCUGAGAGGGCGACCGGCCACACUGGGACUGAGACACGGCCCAGACUCCUACGGGAGGCAGCAGUGGGGAAUCUUGCGCAAUGGGCGAAAGCCUGACGCAGCGACGCCGCGUGGGGAUGACGGCCUCGG
rnacentral:rRNA from 1 species